UACGAAGGGGGCUAGCGUUGUUCGGAUUUACUGGGCGUAAAGCGCACGUAGGCGGAUCGAUCAGUCAGGGGUGAAAUCCCAGAGCUCAACUCUGGAACUGCCUUUGAUACUGUCGAUCUGGAGUAUGGAAGAGGUGAGUGGAAUUCCGAGUGUAGAGGUGAAAUUCGUAGAUAUUCGGAGGAACACCAGUGGCGAAGGCGGCAUCCUGGACCGGUACUGACGCUGAGGCGCGAAAGCGUGGGGAGCAAACAGG
rnacentral:rRNA from 1 species